rnacentral:rRNA from 1 species
UACGUAGGGUGCGAGCGUUGUCCGGAAUUACUGGGCGUAAAGAGCUCGUAGGUGGUUUGUCGCGUUGUCCGUGAAAACUCACAGCUUAACUGUGGGCGUGCGGGCGAUACGGGCAGACUGGAGUACUGCAGGGGAGACUGGAAUUCCUGGUGUAGCGGUGGAAUGCGCAGAUAUCAGGAGGAACACCGGUGGCGAAGGCGGGUCUCUGGGCAGUAACUGACGCUGAGGAGCGAAAGCGGUGGGGAGCGAACAGG